rnacentral:lncRNA from 1 species
AAUAUUGCUACUAUUAUCGUGUAUCAUAUGGGGAGUUAUAGAAAUAUAUUAUAAUUAUAAUGAUGGGUGUCAUUUUUUUUUUAACUUAUGAAUUAUGCUAUAUAUAUAGUAAUAGUAUUAUCGUUUUAACACAUAUUUUUUUUUAUUUUAAACUUAUUCAUAAAUAAUUUAUAUUUGAUUCCUAUUUAAUGUAGGUGUAAAAUAAUUUUAGAUUGACGGACAUGUCUACUAAACUGAACUUUUAUUUAUCAUCACUUAAUAAAAAAAUGUCAUAGUCCCAUAAGUCCUGGCUCAACUUGCAAAAUUGCCGAAAUUGUUAGGCCGGACGUCGUGAUCCGGGAUCACACAAUUAUUUGUGAGUUUAAUUUCAAUGAAUUACCACUUCAUCUAAGACAAAAAAAAAAUGUUAUAUUCCUUAUUCAUUUAUUUAUUGUUGUAGAAUUUAACUAAUAUUAUUCAGUUAUUUAUUGUUGUAGAAUUUAAUUAAUAUUGUUGUAAAAAAUACCUUCUAAAGCACAAAAAAAAUUAUAAUCACCAAGCGACUUUAGUUUUAUUUUUAAAGUUCUUAAUUUUAACUUUAAGCUUAAAAUAUCUUUUAUAACAAAAAAAAAGUUAGGUAAAUGGUACUUAAGAGCCUGUUUGUUAUAGUUCUUUUAAAAAUAGAUUUUUAUAGUAUAAUACAUUUUUGCUAUAACUUUUUAACAAAGAAAUUUUUAAGGCAAGUUUCUAAUGAAAAAUUUGUUUGAAUAGCUUAUGUUAAAAUGUAAUUCUAAGUAUUUCAUGUGUU